CCUCAAGCUUAACCAAAGUUCCUCUUGGAAGAGGUUGUAGGAGAUCUACUUCCACCAUAAUCUUCAUAUGUCUCCCGGAUUUCCCCCCCCCCUGGUGGAACUAGAACCUCCCUAACAGAUUUAAAAACCUUUCCUACCUUAAAACCCACUGACUUACACAACCAGUGAACUGGGAGAUUCCAGACUUGAACCCAUAGGUGAG
rnacentral:lncRNA from 1 species